rnacentral:rRNA from 1 species
GAUGAACGCUGGCGGCGUGCCUAAUACAUGCAAGUCGAGCGAACAGACGAGGAGCUUGCUCCUUCGACGUUAGCGGCGGACGGGUGAGUAACACGUAGGUAACCUACCUAUAAGACUGGGAUAACUUCGGGAAACCGGAGCUAAUACCGGAUAAUAUUUCGAACCGCAUGGUUCGAUAGUGAAAGAUGGCUUUGCUAUCACUUAUAGAUGGACCUGCGCCGUAUUAGCUAGUUGGUAAGGUACCGGCUUAGCAAGGCAACGAUACGUAGCCGACCUGAGAGGGUGAUCGGCCACACGGGAACGGAGACACGGUCCAGACUCCUACGGGAGGCAGCAGUAGGGAAUCUUCCGCAAUGGGCGAAAGCCUGACGGAGCAACGCCGCGUGAGUGAUGAAGGUCUUCGGAUCGUAAAACUCUGUUAUUAGGGAAGAACAAACGUGUAAGUAACUGUGCACGUCUUGACGGUACCUAAUCAGAAAGCCACGGCUAACUACGUG